UUUAAUAAGGCAGUUUAGUAUUUUAGUAUUCAAACUCAUAAAGAUUGCUGUGCUGAGUCAACCUCUAAUAUUGUGUACUAGUAGUUGCGUUGGCAACGUACAAAAAUGAUGCUUUACACUAUUGAUGUGCGAAAUAUAAAACUAGUUAAUAGCAAUCAGACACAUUUUUUAAGAGGUCUAAUCUGGUUUGAAACUGUAAAACGAAUCAUUUUUUUUUAAUUGCUUUUGCAAUAAGAAAUCACUUGUGUAACCUUACAAAAUAUUACAAACCUACAACCUGUUUUGCGAUUAAAAAUGUUUUAUCACAAAAUUAUAAACAAAAUUACUAGAACCAAGAAACCACAGCAAAUCUGCACAUAACACCAGUAUAGAUCUGUGUAUACUUGUAUUUAUAUGAGUAUACCAUAAUAUUUUUUUCGGAUUUAACCCAUGCUGGACCUCUAAUUAUUUUCUUGAUAAGCUUAAAUUAAAUACCAAGCAUAUAAAACUAUUUGGUAUAGGGUCAACUGAUUUUAAUACUGGAAGAAGACAGAGGCUUUUAUACAAAAAUUCAAAGAGAUAAAUGACUGCUGAAGUAUAAAAAAUAAAAUUCAUAUUAUAUAAAAUAUAAUCAAAGGGAAUUUUUAACUAAUCAAUAAUUACAAAUAAAUAUCUGCAACUACAACUGCAAUCAAAGUUGCAGCUUGGCAUGGACAUUUUCUGCAGAAGUUCUGAAUACUUUUUCUAGAAUUUUGUACUGUUCGUGUCGGCUUUUUGGUCACACUACCAGGUGCUCUCAAUCGGCUGAUAAUACAAAUAAAUUGGAACUUACACUUAUUACAUUUAUGACACGCUGUGGCAUAAACCUCGAUUUAAGUCACGCUCGUGCAAAAAUGCACUUGCUAAAUCUCGGUUUAUGCACGUUGUUUCAUAAAAUAUCGUACGAUACUCGCUUCGCUCAGGCGAUAUUGUCCCCACGAGGGUGAAACUACUUUAUCGCACUAGUAUCGUAAUAUACUAUUUUGUUUAUAAUUUUUUCCCCUUUAAUAAUAUUUUGAUGAAUGAGGACGAAGUAUUCAAAUGAUGACAUCUUCUUUAUUAAAAACGAAACUAAAACUUAGAUUCUUGGUUCGAAUUGAGGAACAUAUCUGCUCUAAACAGCUUUCAGAACCAGACUAACAAAAACAAUAACAUUUGCGGGGUCGUUAAUCUCGUUCCUACGAGUCACUAUGUGCAAUUCUCAGCGUUCAAAUCGCGCAAGGACUGAGCUCAGUCACAAUAAUAUUAUCGUUAAUAGAAACUUCGUAAGUUUACUACACAUCUUUGGUGCUAUACUCCGAAAGCUAACAUCUGUACGGCGACUCUUGUUAUGUGUAAAGGCCAAUAGUUUUAUUCUCCGUAAGAUAUUACCAGGGAAUGCGUCUGUUUAUUAAUCGUAAUUUACAAUGAAUGAUUUGUUUAAGAGGAACAAACAAUAAAUGUGCUUGCGGAAGACCA